GGGUUCUUCCAUAAAAUCUUCAGGAAGCGUUCAUAGAUCUUCAAAAUUACCUUUUUAUUAACUGCCACACUUAUAUACAGUUCACAAUAGUAGCCAGAAAAUAUAAGAAACAAAAUAAAAGAAAGAAAAGAGAAAGAAAAAAAACUAACUGAUAAAUAAAAUUAACAUGCUACUGAGUUCUGGGCCUCAGAUGUUACUCCAGGGAUCCCUCACCAGAACUGACUCAGCCCUAGACAAAAAUCACACCCUUUAACAAACCAGAGCAAACCAUUGUAUAAUUACAGGGGGACUCAAGUCGGUACAUCAAACCUAAAUGAAAAAGAAAAGAAUAUACACACAAAUAAACUCUAUAAACAUUAGAUUCCAUACCAUAAAGCAAUAAUAAAAUAAAAUGGAAAGAAUGCCCUUUAUUAUGACAAUCUUACAAUUAACCAAUAAUUAACAAACCCCUGUGGUACCCAAACUACAUUUCCCAUAAUUCCUAAGACAGAAUAUAAAAGGACAUCAGGAAAUGCAGCGCUCUUUUAAUUACACCUUGGUUCCAUGCUGCAGUCAUGGAUCCCGGCAGAACCACGGGCCAUUCAAGCCGAUCAAAAACCUGAACAAACAUCCACCUUAGACACUCAGACAAGGGGUGUGGACCGCUACCACAAGACUUUAGGGUAAUCCAAUCAGAUGUCUGCUGAGGUCAGCAUGGUUCUGCCAAUCAGGAAUGAAGCGGAAGGCGCUGAUGAAGGAUCAGGAAGCUUAGAAAAUGUCCCUUAAUGACAGAAGAGGGAUGUGGCUGAUGGCGUUGAAGGGGUCGAGGCCUGGCGUGAUGACCAGAGAAAAGUGCAGUCAGUGUGGGAGGAGUGGGUGACCGUUGACCUUUUCUACGAAACUGAACUAUGACCCCUACGCUUUGCCUGAAGGUGAUGGCCUGAACAACCCCCACUGUUGAAACGGCAUGAAUAUAAUGUCAUCGACAUUCGCCGUCUCCUUAUAGCUACACUUCUCACAAUAUUCAAUGCAAAAUACACACAUUUAUAUUACUAUAGAAAAACUCUUCCUUUUUGUAUAUUGUUCAGGCUUAAGCAACAUUUUAGGAAUUUGUGAACAUUUAACUAUAAUGGUAGGCCUAAAAAUAACUAUCUCAUGGAAAAUAUGAUUAAAAGAAGAUAAGGAAAAAGGAUAGUGCAGGCUAUUUGAGGUUACUCUGCUAACUUGGUUAAAGUUACACAGAGCUGUACUGCUCUUAGUUCAACUAGAUGGUAUGAAAACCCUGAGAGAUGUUUGAUAAUGGAGAUGCAAACUAUCCAUGAAGAUCAGUGAGAUGUAAUGAUGACUGUUACAUGAAAAGACACCAUCACACCCUUAAUGGUUAAAAUGUCUCUUAAAGUUGAUGUUAGUGUUAAAUGGUUCAUGAAUGUUAAAUAA